CAUCCCCACGCCCACGUCCACGCUCUCCAACAACAGAACCACAACAAGGGCCCAGUGGAGGACUUUCAGAACCAGGAAGGCCAGAACAUGGGUGGCAUGGAACAACAAGCCGGUGUCGAAUCCCUCCAGUUUGAAUAUGCAGGGAACCAGAUUCAAGUGGACUCCUCCGGAACCCCAGUGGGGUUGUUUGACUACAGCUCGCAGCAGCAGUUAUUCCAGCGGUCAAAUCCCCUCACGGUCCAGCAACUCACAGCAGCCCAGCAGCAACAAUAUGCCCUGGCAGCGGCUCAACAGCAGCACCUUGGUAACGUUGCCGUAUAAU